rnacentral:rRNA from 1 species
UGCACAGCCUUAAACUUUAAUAUAAUGUCACACAUAUAUUCGCCAGGGUAUUACAAGCAUAAGCUUAAAACUCAAAGGACUUGGCGGUGCUUUAGUCCCACCUAGAGGAGCCUGUUCUAUAACCGACAACCCCCGUUAAACCCCACCUUAUCUUGCAUUUCCGCCUAUAUACCACCGCCGUCAGCUAACCCUGUGAGGGACAACAAGUAAGCAAGACUGAUAUAAUCCAAAACGUCAGGUCGAGGUGUAGCAUACGAUAAGGUAAGAAAUGGGCUACAUUUCCUGCCGCAGGAAAUACGGACACCAUUAUGAAAAUAAGCAUUGAAGGAGGAUUUAGCAGUAAGUGGGGAAUAGAGAGCCCUACUGAAGCUGGCCCUGAAGC